UACGAAGGGUGCAAGCGUUACUCGGAAUUACUGGGCGUAAAGCGUGCGUAGGUGGUGCGUUAAGUCUGUCGUGAAAGCCCCGGGCUCAACCUGGGAAUGGCGAUGGAUACUGGCGCGCUAGAGUGCGGUAGAGGAGAGUGGAAUUCUCGGUGUAGCGGUGAAAUGCGUAGAUAUCGAGAGGAACACCUGCGGCGAAGGCGGGUUGCUGGGCUGACACUGACGCUGAGGCGCGAAAGCUAGGGGAGCGAACGGG
rnacentral:rRNA from 1 species